rnacentral:rRNA from 1 species
AUUGAACGCUGGCGGCAGGCCUAACACAUGCAAGUCGAGCGGAUGAAGGGAGCUUGCUCCUGGAUUCAGCGGCGGACGGGUGAGUAAUGCCUAGGAAUCUGCCUGGUAGUGGGGGAUAACGUCCGGAAACGGGCGCUAAUACCGCAUACGUCCUGAGGGAGAAAGUGGGGGAUCUUCGGACCUCACGCUAUCAGAUGAGCCUAGGUCGGAUUAGCUAGUGGGUGGGGUAAAGGCCUACCAAGGCGACGAUCCGUAACUGGUCUGAGAGGAUGAUCAGUCACACUGGAACUGAGACACGGUCCAGACUCCUACGGGAGGCAGCAGUGGGGAAUAUUGGACAAUGGGCGAAAGCCUGAUCCAGCCAUGCCGCGUGUGUGAAGAAGGUCUUCGGAUUGUAAAGCACUUUAAGUUGGGAGGAAGGGCAGUAAGUUAAUACCUUGCUGUUUUGACGUUACCAUCAGAAUAAGCACCGGCUAACUUCGUG